rnacentral:rRNA from 1 species
AGGGAUCAUUACCGAGUUUACAACUCCCAAACCCCUGUGAACAUACCAAUUGUUGCCUCGGCGGAUCAGCCCGCUCCCGGUAAAACGGGACGGCCCGCCAGAGGACCCCUAAACUCUGUUUCUAUAUGUAACUUCUGAGUAAAACCAUAAAUAAAUCAAAACUUUCAACAACGGAUCUCUUGGUUCUGGCAUCGAUGAAGAACGCAGCAAAAUGCGAUAAGUAAUGUGAAUUGCAGAAUUCAGUGAAUCAUCGAAUCUUUGAACGCACAUUGCGCCCGCCAGUAUUCUGGCGGGCAUGCCUGUUCGAGCGUCAUUUCAACCCUCAAGCCCAGCUUGGUGUUGGGACUCGCGAGUCAAAUCGCGUUCCCCAAAUUGAUUGGCGGUCACGUCGAGCUUCCAUAGCGUAGUAGUAAAACCCUCGUUACUGGUAAUCGUCGCGGCCACGCCGUUAAACCCCAACUUCUGAAUGUUGACCUCGGAUCAGGUAGGAAUACCCGCUGAACUUAAGCAU